rnacentral:rRNA from 1 species
UUCAGGAUGGGGACAACAGUUGGAAACGACUGCUAAUACCCAAUGUGCCUACGGGUGAAACCUUUUUUGGCCUGAAGAUGAGCUCGCGUCUGAUUAGCUAGUUGGUGGUGUAAUGGACUCACCAAGGCAACGAUCAGUAGCUGGUCUGAGAGGAUGAGCAGCCACACUGGGACUGAGACACGGCCCAGACUCCUACGGGAGGCAGCAGUGGGGAAUUUUCCGCAAUGGGCGAAAGCCUGACGGAGCAAUACCGCGUGAGGGAGGAAGGUUCUUGGAUUGUAAACCUCUUUUCUCAGGGAAGAAAAAAAUGACGGUACCUGAGGAAUAAGCAUCGGCUAACUCCGUGCCAGCAGCCGCGGUAAUACGGGGGAUGCAAGCGUUAUCCGGAAUUAUUGGGCGUAAAGAGUCCGUAGGUGGUCUUGCAAGUCGACUGUCAAAGCCCGCAGCUUAACUGCGGAGAGGCGGUGGAAACUGUGAGACUAGAGUAUGGUAGGGGUAGAGGGAAUUCCCAGUGUAGCGGUGAAAUGCGUAGAUAUUGGGAAGAACACCGGUGGCGAAAGCGCUCUACUGGACCAUAACUGACACUCAGGGACGAAAGCCAAGGU